rnacentral:rRNA from 1 species
AAGUCGAACGCUUCUUUCCUCCCAAGUGCUUGCACUCAAUUGGAAAGAGGAGUGGCGGACGGGUGAGUAACACGUGGGUAACCUACCCAUCAGAGGGGGAUAACACUUGGAAACAGGUGCUAAUACCGCAUAACAGUUUAUGCCGCAUGGCAUAAGAGUGAAAGGCGCUUUCGGGUGUCGCUGAUGGAUGGACCCGCGGUGCAUUAGCUAGUUGGUGAGGUAACGGCUCACCAAGGCCACGAUGCAUAGCCGACCUGAGAGGGUGAUCGGCCACACUGGGACUGAGACACGGCCCAGACUCCUACGGGAGGCAGCAGUAGGGAAUCUUCGGCAAUGGACGAAAGUCUGACCGAGCAACGCCGCGUGAGUGAAGAAGGUUUUCGGAUCGUAAAACUCUGUUGUUAGAGAAGAACAAGGACGUUAGUAACUGAACGUCCCCUGACGGUAUCUAACCAGAAAGCCACGGCUAACUACGUGCCAGCAGCCGCGGUAAUACGUAGGUGGCAAGCGUUGUCCGGAUUUAUUGGGCGUAAAGCGAGCGCAGGCGGUUUCUUAAGUCUGAUGUGAAAGCCCCCGGCUCAACCGGGGAGGGUCAUUGGAAACUGGGAGACUUGAGUGCAGAAGAGGAGAGUGGAAUUCCAUGUGUAGCGGUGAAAUGCGUAGAUAUAUGGAGGA